rnacentral:rRNA from 1 species
AUAGCGUAUACUAAUAUUGCUGUUGUUAAAAAGCUCGUAGUUGGAUAUCGGUUUCGGGCGGGUGGUGCGCCUUGCGGCGUUUACUGUCUGCCCGGACGAUUUUGUUGGUACGUUCAUGGUGCUCUUCAUCGGGUGCCUUGAGUGGCCAGCACGUUUACUUUGAAAAAAUUGGAGUGCUCAAAGCAGGCGCUACAGCCUGAACAAUUGUGCAUGGAAUAAUGGAAUAGGAUCUCGGUUCUAUUUCGUUGGCUUUCGGAGUCGAGGUAAUGAUUAAUAGGGACAGACGGGGGCAUUCGUACUGCGACGUUAGAGGUGAAAUUCUUGGAUCGUCGCAAGACGAACUACUG